UAAGCAAGUUAAUAUUUUUUAAUAAAAAACGAAAUAAGACGAAUAGCAUACAUUAUUGUUGUUGCGGUGUGUCACGUGACAAUCAUGACCGUCGCCAUGGACACAAGGGGUCGGAUAUUUAGAGUUAAAUAUUUUUAACUUACGCGUGAAAUGGUUGAUUUUAAAAAUAUAUGUAUUCUAAGUAAACAACAACAGCCCAGGUUUAGUAAACAUUUUUUUAUUGAAACUAUAAAUAAAUAUUCUGCAUCCAUUUUAGGUGUGCCACUGUGGGUGGCUCCCGCACACGUGGCUACGCCCCUGCCGUGACCCAAAUCUCGAUCGCACAUCAUCGCGAUGUUUAUCAUCUAUUUACAAACGUAGCCAGUCGCCACAUCUUUUUUCUUCACAUACAUCUCAUACUCCAUCUACACACUCCACAACAUUUAAACCAAUGGCUCUUUUAAGAGCCAUCACCUGCAAAAGCUCUCCUACUCAGGCACGCACUCACUCUCCAACUCACACACAUGGCACCUGGAUCCAGAACACGCCAUAGUGCUUGCUACAAAGAAAUUGGCAGUGCCUCCAAAAAGAGGCAUUAUUAGCCUAUCCCCUGUAUGUCACUGAUGCGCUACUUUAAAGAUGUGAGGAAAAGAACAUACACCUGCGAGUAGUCUGUUUGUUACUUUGCCUGUGUUAUUGCCUCACAUUUGCAGAAAUCAGGUGAGGGCAUAUCACACAACAUUGCCUUGGCCGUACCAGCAUUUCAUGUUUAUGGACACAAAUUGCCCUGCCAGGUAAUUCAUUGACUUUAUAGGGAUAUCAGGACAUAUAAC